rnacentral:rRNA from 1 species
UCCUACGGGAGGCAGCAGUGGGGAAUCUUCCGCAAUGGACGAAAGUCUGACGGAGCAACGCCGCGUGAGUGAUGAAGGCUUUCGGGUCGUAAAACUCUGUUGUUAGGGAAGAACAAGUGCUAGUUGAAUAAGUUGGCACCUUGACGGUACCUAACCAGAAAGCCACGGCUAACUACGUGCCAGCAGCCGCGGUAAUACGUAGGUGGCAAGCGUUAUCCGGAAUUAUUGGGCGUAAAGCGCGCGCAGGUGGUUUCUUAAGUCUGAUGUGAAAGCCCACGGCUCAACCGUGGAGGGUCAUUGGAAACUGGGAGACUUGAGUGCAGAAGAGGAAAGUGGAAUUCCAUGUGUAGCGGUGAAAUGCGUAGAGAUAUGGAGGAACACCAGUGGCGAAGGCGACUUUCUGGUCUGUAACUGACACUGAGGCGCGAAAGCGUGGGGAGCAAACAGGAUUAGAUACCCUGGUAGUCUACGCCGUAAACGAUGAGUGCUAAGUGUUAGAGGGUUUCCGCCCUUUAGUGCUGAAGUUAACGCAUUAACCACUCCGCCUGGGGAGUACGGCCGCAAGGCUGAAACUCAAAGGAA